rnacentral:rRNA from 1 species
AUUGAACGCUGGCGGCGUGCUUAACACAUGCAAGUCGAUCGGUAACAGGUGUAGCAAUACAUGCUGACGAGAGGCGGACGGGUGAGUAAUGCUUGGGAAUCUGCCUAUUAGUGGGGGACGAACCCGGGGAAACGUCGGGCUAAUACCGCAUACGCUCUACGGAGGAAAGCCGGGGACCGCAAGGCCUGGCGCUAAUAGAUGAGCCCAAGUCGGAUUAGCUAGUUGGUAGGGAACGGCCUACCAAGGCGACAAUCCGUAGCUGGUCUGAGAGGACGACCAGCCACACCGGAACUGAGACACGGUCCGGACUCCUACGGGAGGCAGCAGUGGGGAAUAUUGGACAAUGGGGCGAACCCUGAUCCAGCGACGCCGCGUGGGUGAAGAAGGCC